ACCUUCUAUGGUGCAGUUGGUAGAGCCUUGACACAGUAAUUAUGUGUCCUAGGUUCAAGUCCUGGUAGGGGUA